CUACAUUCGUACGAAAGUUUGGAUUCGAAUGAGUUCGAAAAUGCCAUUCUUGUUUACGUACAAAGGCCGUACGAAUCCAUUCGUAUCCCGUACGAAUGCGAUACGUAUGCGAAAAGGGUGGAUGUCUAUGCAAAAAUGGUUGAUGUCUAGACUUAAGGGUUAGAAAAAGUUUAAACGUCAGGAGAGAAAUGUCAAGUGUGUCAAGCCGAUUGAGCGAGGCUCCUGACGGCAAACAGUUUUUCACUGGAUGAAAAUUAAAUAUUUUUUUAUUAUAAUUUGCAUCAUAAAAAUACCUUGUUCUUAAAAAUAUCGUCGGUAAACGUAAGCAUAUAACACAAGUUAAACGCGGCUAUUAAAACUUUCAUUUUCGGAAUGAAAUUUAUUUGGCGAAAUAUGAAAUUGGAACCAAAUUUACAAACUCCGUUGCAAAAACAUAAGCGCGUCAUGGGUCUGCAUGAUGCAAUAAAACUUGUAUGUUUACAUUUUGUAAUCAUCUCGAACAGUAUUUCUUAGCAAGCUUAUUCGCGUUUUUUGAAGAUUUGUGAUAAAUAAGUAAAUGUGUGGUUAUGUGCGAUUCUGCGGACAUGGAUUCUGAUGCGGCUGGAGUAAUUACAUGCUAUCUAGAAGUGACUGUUUUCGUUAAUGGAUUCGAGUGCUUGUUGCUGUAGAAAAUCAUCAUCAAAAAGCACGGCAUAAUUUAAAAAAGAAGAUUGAUCUGCUUGCCGUACGUGAAUUUAUUCGAUAGGAAAACUGUAAAUUUACCAGAAGAAGCUUGUUUUAGAAUCGGUGUCAACUUUGGCCCUGCGUUUUUGGCCACUUCAUGUUUGUAGGAAUGCGAAUUGUCGAAAUUUGAAUUUGUCCUUAGUGUUGUUCCGAUAAGACAAUCAGCCUGGUCUACAAGCUAUCUAAAUAGCAGAACACACCGGUUAAAGUUAAGCUGAAGCAUCGUACACUAAAGGAGUUGAAGAAGACCAUCAAGGGCAAGCGACACAAACGGGACUUCCGUCAGAUUACCCUGCGUGGUGCUAGUGAUAUUAGGCGACCCUAGCGACCGGCCAUCGCCUCAGGCCACUGUCUUCGUACGGCUACCACUGCCUCAAAACGGCCCUGUAAACAAUGAUGAACGAUGGAUGUGAGGUUCCAGCGAAUUUUUAUUAUGGGCGCUUUCGGAGAAUUGGCAUCAAACCGACUCGCUUAUGUAAUACAAAAAGGACGUAGGUUCCGUAAUAAAGCCCAAUAAGUUGGAAUGCACUUUGUGAGUAGACUAUGAAAAAUAAAUGGUCGAUAAAAUCUACUAUUGGAAGCUUACUGCUUUUUUGAAGUUAACUCCUGCUAUUUAUUCGCGAACUUUAUUAGGUUUAUAUGCAACUAUGCACUUUUUAAACAAACAGGUUUUAAAUGAAUGGAACUUUGCCAGCUUUUUUAUUAAGCAGUUGUCUUAGCUUUUUCGUCACAUCCGUAAAUUUAUUCAAUCGCGCUCUAGUUUACUCUGAAGAGCAUAAUUCAAGAAAUAUUUUACGUGUGCUUCAAUGACCACGCGAUGUAAUGGUAAAGUGUUUGGGUGUGCUCCGUGGUGGCCCUCGUUGGCGUUAUGUUCACUCGAGCGCAUAAUCAAUCAUACCACAAAAACAACGUGUUAGUUUUUAUUUCUGGUACAAGUGGCAAUAAUUUGGGUUUGGCUUGCUUUGCUUUGAGUGAUACAAACUAUUAACGAUUGGAUUGGUAGCCGAAGUUAAUUGGAAAUUUCGAUUUUCUUGUAUAUCGGCACAGCGAUUAUGAUACGGUUUCAUUGCAUUGUCUCCUGGUGGUCGGAAGCCCAGAGACCAAGUAGUAACCUUAUCAUGAACGUAGUUGUAUAGCAACGAUUGCACCACCUACCACAGUGAUCCAUAUCAGUUUCAUGCCGCUACCACUAAUUCCUUUCUUUGAUACUUGUAGAUGCUGCACAGGGUUCCUCGAUCUCUAGUAGCAACUAGUAUUGGAUUACUACUCCAAAUAUCUCAUCCUCUAUUGAUCUGCAGCUGGCCUGGCCAUCUACAUUAUUUACUAGGACGGUUUUGACGGU